ACACUGAUUCGGUAUUUCGUUAUGUUGACCAUUCUCAAGACUGAAAAAAGAAACAGAAAAGGAAAAAAAGAGAGAGAUCUAGAACGGUCUCUUUACCGACAAAAGAUGAGACGAAGAAAAAUCGGUGUUCGAUGGUGAAAAACAAAGGUGUACGACUCUAUAUGAGUAAAUACGAAAUCAGAAUCUCGAAAUCUGCCGGUAUACCAUCGUUUACUCUCUCAUUAUCUUACGAUUCAUCUACUUGAUCUGAGAAGCCUCUUUAUAGAUAUGUUCAGAAGUAUCAGAUGACUUGUAUGUUGAUUCUGAUGAUCGAUCUUAGUCAAGCGGAUCUUCGAUUAGCACUGAAUUUGACCAUUCCCUAUUGGGGUCGGAAACACCUAAGCAAUCUCGAGCUUCUCAGAUGUCAAGCUCGUGAUGUCCAUCGGCUUGCUCAAAAUCUGAAGGGCGAUGUUCAUUUCUUUGACAACCAUGAAGUUGGCCUAAUGAAAUUUUGGGUUACUAUAUAAAAUUUGGGGUUACGUUAAAGUGAGGGCUUAUCAAAGGUCUUAUACUUUGCAAAAUGAUGAUCCGGUCUGUUUGCAAAAAAAAAAGGAUGACUGAUUAAAAUACACAGAUACGUACCUUAACUAAUGGCCAGACCAUUCUGUAAUGGUAAUUGCUAUGUAAACAAAGAGAUAAUUCUCAUGUACAUCAACUAAUGGCCAGACCAUUCUGUAAUCUGACCAAACUGUAUGUUGUUUUUAUACUCAUCCUCUGAUGGAAGGACAUGAGUCAAGUCGAACCCAAAGGACAUGAGGCAAAGUCCAACCAAAGCCUUACAGUACACAGAUAAGUCUCCGACUAUAGCUUUUUUUUUGGGUUAGAGAUAAUGAGUUGACUUAAUUAUAUAUACAAUGGAUGUGCAGGUCGUGCAGUUAAAGGUUUUGAGACAGAGCUUUAUUCAUCUGAACGACAUGGGACAGAGACAUAGCGGGAAAGCAAUUCGAACCCAUGGUAUAGGGUUUGAUUACGAAAGAUGAUUUCGAUGGGAUUUUCAUGGAAUAGGAUUUGAUUAUGAAGAUGAUUUUGAUGGGCUCAUCAUUCUUUCCGAUUUAUUUAAAAAGGCACGAGCUUACGCGGAUGUGGGCCUUAAUUGUUUCAAUGCAUUUUGAUGACGUUAUGGAUAUGUUUUAAUAACUGAAGAUUUCUGAUUGGUCAAAAUAUAUUGGCGUCAUUUAUUUUUUUUAAAA